CCUACGGGUGGCUGCAGUGGGGAAUAUUGCACAAUGGGGGGAACCCUGAUGCAGCAACGCCGCGUGGGUGAAGAAGCGUUUCGGCUCGUAAAGCCCUAUCGGCAGGGAAGAAGAUGACGGUACCUGACCAAGAAGCCCCGGCUAACUCCGUCCCAGCAGCCGCGGUAAUACGUAGGGGGCAAGCGUUAUCCGGAUUUACUGGGGGGAAAGGGGGCGCAGACGGCAGUGCAAGCCAGGAGUGAAAGCCCGGGGCCGAACCCGGGGACUGCGUUUGGAACUGCAUGGCUGGAGUACAGGAGGGGCAGGUGGAAGUCCUGGUGUAGCGGUGAAAUGCGUAGAUAUUAGGAGGAACACAGGUGGCGAAGGCGGCCGGCUGGACUGUGACUGACGUUGAGGCCCGAAGGCGUGGGGAGCAAACAGGAUUAGAUACCCUUGUAGUC
rnacentral:rRNA from 1 species